UUGUACACACCGGCCCGUCACACCAUGGAAGCUGGUCACGCCCGAAGUCAUUACCUCAACUUUUAGGAGAGGGGGAUGCCUAAGGUAGGACUGGUGACUGGGGUGAAGUCGUAACAAGGUAGCCGUACCGGAAGGUGUGGCUGGAUCACCUCCUUUUUAGGGAGACCUAACCCAUUAGAGACUGAAUCUAAUUGUCGUAAUGAGGUCAUCCUAGGUCGUUCGAGAUUGGUGAAAACUUUCAAAGUAUUACUCUUCCGGUUUUAACAAAGGAAAAGCCAGCAACUAGCGAAAGUUAGACUGCUGGGUAAAUCCAGCCAGAACCUUGAAAACUGCAUAGAAACGCGAUAAUAGCAGGCAGACACAGACAUGAAAAUGAAAGUGAAUGCAGGUGAAACACCAAUGAAUUGUGGUCAAGCGAAUAAGGGCUAAUGGUGGAUACCUAGGCACACAGAGGCGA
rnacentral:misc_RNA from 1 species